UUUAAAUCUUCUUUCACCACUGAAGGAGUGCUUUGAUAUGGAGCAGUAGAGGGUAAACCAACCCUAUCCCUUCUUUGUUAACAUGCUGUUUUAUAUCCUUUAGGUUUUCAUGGAGUCCCGGGGGAAGUUACGGGCCCACCAUUUGACUCCAGUCAACAUUUCUUUGAGUGGCUGGCUAUGAGGCCCUUGGUGCAGUGUUAUGAGAGUUUCAUGACCUUCACUGCCUCUGGAGGAGAACUCACACACCUGUUAUUGGACAGAGUGGGAGCCUCUCCCAUCGCCCUGCACCAGUUACCGUCACACUGUGGUUACUCAGUGAGGAUUUCAACGAGUGACCUUGGGAUGACGGUGCCUUAUGAUUCAUGUUACACUAUAUACGAGAAUGGCAGUUAUGUGCUGCCCAUGUUGUGGUGGGGCAGCCCACUGAAGCUCUCCUGUCCGAAGGACAUGCCCUCCCCCUCCCCCCUCCCCCCUCCCCCUCCUCCCCCUCCCCCUCUUCCUCCCCCCGUUCCUCUUCCUCCCCCUCAGUAUUCUGCUCCCCCUUUGGCAUGGGAGUGCAGAUACAGGGGCUGGAGCAGGAUAUAGAGAUGAUGGGAGCCGUAGUAAAUGGAGGUUGGGGUCCGUUUGUUUGUGAAGAGUGUGCUCAUCGUGUCCCGUCGACUCCUGGGACGCUUGCCUUCUUCAUCUCCUACGAUGCUCCUUGUCUCACUCGUGGAGAUGAUCUUCUUCUUCAGUUUAUAUUAGAUGAUCAGAUAUACACUCUCACCUGUCCAGUCGAUACUGAGUCUCCCAACCUCCCAGAUCCUGUUAGCUCUCCUCCUCCUCCUCCUCCUCAGCCUCCAACCCCUGUGCAUUUUGCUCAGCUGCCUGACUUCCCCCAUUACCCCUAUGUGCCGUUCUUCCACCCUGCAGUGACACCAGCUCCGACCUCUGCAGCUAAACAAACAACUACUGCUCCUCCAGCUACCUACCCACCCAAACAUCCAGCAAGUCCUUAUUACCCUGCACCCAAUUCCGCACCAGUGGCCCAAACGCCAGCUCCUCUCAAUCCCAGCAUGCCAUCACCAAAACUACCUGUGGGUCCAAA
rnacentral:lncRNA from 1 species